GCUCACAGACGCACAGACGCACACAAACACAAUCGCCGACGAUCUUCCCUCACUUCAUUCGCUUACUCUACUCUGCGUAGUCGAAGCCUCUCUCACUUUGAUCGUUCUUCGUUGUGAUUUUGCAGAGCCGAUUCAGUAUCCCACGACCGAUUCCUGAUGAGUGAUCGCUCCUAUUCCACAUUUCGGUCCUCAAUUCGGCAUUAGGUUUCAUUUCCGUGGCAUUUGAGGCUAUUGUAGCUGCAUGUUGAUGAUGAUCGAAGAUUGUAGAGGCGAUCGCAGCGAUCGAUCCAUUUCUUACUCUCUGUUUUUUCCUUCUUCUUUUCCGGAUAGUCGAUAUAGACUUGGUAGAGUCUUUCAUUCCACGUACUUGACUCUGCGAAACCCUCGCUCUUCCUCGAUCUUUGAUCGUUCUUUGUUUUGAUUUGCAGAGCGCAUCUAGUAGCCCGACCAGACCGAUUCUGACUAGCCCUCUUCGGCAUGGCGCCCGCACUUGCCCACCAGCUACUCCUGGCCCAACAGGAGUUCAGAGAGGCCAAAGCUAAGUUGGAAGAAGCCCAGCAUCAUAACAACCGUGCCCUAAACAAGAAUUAAGUACUGAUCUUUGAUGAUUAUGUAGAUUAUAGCCCAUAACAUCUCUGUUUUCUCUCCUUCAGGCGAUACUUGCUUCGCGCCGCCAAGCAAAGGCGCGAUGCGGCUGUAUCGAGGUUGGAAAGAGUAACAGGAUAGAUCAAAAGCAAGCAAUGUCUGUUCCUGCACAAUGUGGAGCAGGUCCAUGCGGUCGUCGAGCUUCUGGAGAACCUCCACCACCGUGGGCGCCUCCACCGUGUGGAGAUCAAGUGCCGCGAGGUGGAGGUAACCCGGGAGAUGCGGUAGGCUCUACAAGAGUAUGGAUUUAAGUAAUCCUCUGAGCUUCCUCCGGCCUGAUGGCAACACAAGCCUCCCCCAUUCGGUUGUAUUGGUAAAUGGUGGCAUGCCUAAAUUUUAUAGAUGUUUGUACUGAUCUAAAUUACUGUUUUUUAAAUCUGUUUUGUAAGGUGAGGCCAGAUGAUAUAUUAGUUGAGUUCAAUUGUUACUUCAAUGGCUUGUUGUCUGGUGCAUAACUUUCUAUCUA